rnacentral:rRNA from 1 species
AAAGAAAAUAACAAUGAUUCCCCUAGUAACGGCGAGUGAAGAGGGAUUAGCUCAAAUUUAAAAUCUGCUAGGUUUACCUGUCAGAGUUGUAAUUUGAAGAGGCGUUUUCCGCGUCAUUGUUGGUCCAAAUCCUUUGGGAUAAGGUAUCAUGGAGGGUGAGAAUCCCGUCCGGCCGACAUCAUGAUGUUUUACGAUACGCUUUCAAAGAGUCGAGUUGUUUGGGAUUGCAGCUCAAAAUGGGAGGUAAAUUUCUCCUAAGGCUAAAUAUUGGCGAGAGACCGAUAGCGAACAAGUACCGUGAGGGAAAGAUGAAAAGAACUUUGAAAAGAGAGUUAAAAAGUACGUGAAAUUGUUGAAAGGGAAACGAUUGAAGUCAGUCAUACCAACGGGAAAUCAACCUUUUGAGUAUGAAUUUUGGAGCUUUGAAGAGUUUAAAAACCUUUGGGUUUCAUUAUUUAUGCAUUUUUGGCGUACUUUCUCGUCCGGUAGGUUAACAUCGAUUUUGAACGUUAUAAAAUGAUUGGAGGAAUGUAGCUUCGAUCUCGUAUUGAAGUGUUAUAGCCUUUAGUAAAUGUAAUGAUCAAGAUCGAGGAUUGCAACGAAUACCCUUUUGGGCUAUCCGUCCGAUCUCUGAUACGUGACCUUAGUAUUGAAAGCGUGCUUAUGAUAUUGAGGUAUUACGGUCAAAAGGUUAGAACGGAUUACAUUCGUUAAGGAUGUUG